rnacentral:rRNA from 1 species
GUUGUCUGUGAAGGGCGCACGGUGGAUGCCUUGGCACAAUGAGCCGAUGAAGGACGUGUAAGGCCGCGAUAGGCCUCGGGGAGCUGCCAAUAGAGCGUUGAUCCGAGGGUGUCCGAAUGGGGAAACCUGGCCAUCGUUAUGGGUGGUCGCCUGCCAGUGAAUUCAUAGCUGGUGUGGAGGGAACGCGGGGAAGUGAAACAUCUCAGUACCCGUAGGAGAAGAAAAUAAUAAUGAUUCCGUUAGUAGCGGCGAGCGAACGCGGAUUAUGUGGCUAAACCAUAUGCGUGUGAUACCUGGCAGGGGUUGCGUGUGUGGGGUUGUGGGACGAAUGCGUGCGGUGCUGCCAUGCCGUGCAUUGUCAUAGUGUGUUAGCGGAAGUGGUUUGGAAUGGCCUGCCGUAGACGGUGAGAGUCCGGUACGUGAAAGCAUGACUGUGGUGGUGUGUGUUUGUUCCCGAGUAGCAGCGGGCUCGUGGAAUCUGCUGUGAAUCUGCCGGGACCAUCCGGUAAGCCUGAAUACUUGUUGUGACCGAUAGCGGAUGAGUACCGUGAGGGAAUGGUGAAAAGUACCCCGGGAGGGGAGUGAAAUAGUACCUGAAACCGUGUGCUUACAAUCCGUCAGAGCCCUCUUGUGGGGUGAUGGCGUGCCUUUUGAAGAAUGAGCCUGCGAGUCAGCGGCAUGUCGCGAGGUUAACCCGAGUAUGUGGGGUAGUCGUAGCGAAAGCGAAUACUAACUAGUGUGUUUGUAGUGGCAUGUCCUGGACCCGAAGCGGGGUGAUCUACCCAUGGCCAGUGUGAAGCAGCUGUAAGAGGUUGUGGAGGCGCGAACCCACUUAGGUUGAAAACUGAGGGGAUGAGUUGUGGGUAGGGGUGAAAGGCCAAUCAAACUCCGUGAUAGCUGGUUCUCCCCGAAAUGCAUUUAGGUGCAGCGUCGUGUGUUUCUUGCCGGAGGUAGAGCUACUGGUUGGUUUAGCGGGACUAUCAUCUUAGCGACAUCAGCCAAACUCCGAAUGCCGGUAAGUUAGAGCGCGGCAGUGAGACUGCGGGGGAUAAGCUUCGUAGUCGAGAGGGAAACAGCCCAGAUCGCCGGCUAAGGCCCCUAAGAGUGUACUAAGUGGAAAAGGAUGUGGGAUCGCGAAGACAGCCAGGAGGUUGGCUUAGAAGCAGCCAUCCUUGAAAGAGUGCGUAAUAGCUCACUGGUCGAGUGGUUCUGCGCCGACAAUGUAGUGGGGCUCAAGUACACCGCCGAAGCCGCGGAACUCACAUUUUGUGUGGGUUGGUAGGGGAGCGUCGUGUGGCCGGUGAAGGUGCGGGGUGACCCAGUGCUGGAGGCUAUGCGAGUGAGAAUGCAGGCAUGAGUAGCGAAUGACAAGUGGAAAACUUGUCCGCCGGAUGACUAAGGGUUCCUGGGUUAAGCUAAUCUUCCCAGGGUGAGUCGGGACCUAAGGCGAGGCCGACAGGCGUAGUCGAUGGAUAACGGGUUGAUAUUCCCGUACCCGUGUAUGUGCGCCCAAUGGUGAAUCGGGGAUACUAACCACCCUGACCCGCCACUAACGAGGCUUUGCCUUGUGGUGUGUGGUGAUGCGUGGGACCUGAUCUGGUAGUAGCCAAGCGAUGGGGUGACACAGGUUGGUAGCCAAGCCACUUAUUGGAUUGUGGUGUAAGCGUGUGGCACGUGCCCAGUGGUAAAUCCGGGGCACAUAAUGUGUGAGGCGUGAUGCGUACCCGUUGUGGGGAUGUUGGUGAUCCUGUACUGUCGAGAAAAGCCUCUAGUGAGUGCAUACAUGGCCCGUACCCAUAACCGACACAGGUGGUCAGGUAGAGAAUACUAAGGCGAUCGGGUGAACUGUGGUUAAGGAACUCGGCAAAAUGCCCCCGUAACUUCGGGAGAAGGGGGGCCACUGCUGGUGACAGACUGGUUUUGAGCUGGUGGUGGUCGCAGAGAAUAGAGGGAAGCGACUGUUUACUAAAAACACAGGUCCGUGCGAAGACGGUGAAGUCGAUGUAUACGGACUGACGCCUGCCCGGUGCUGGAAGGUUAAGAGGACCUGUUAGACCCUUUUGGGUCGAAGCGGAGAAUUUAAGCCCCAGUAAACGGCGGUGGUAACUAUAACCAUCCUAAGGUAGCGAAAUUCCUUGUCGGGUAAGUUCCGACCUGCACGAAUGGCGU